UACGGGGGGGGGCAAGCGUUGUUCGGAAUUACUGGGCGUAAAGGGCUCGUAGGCGGCCAACUAAGUCAGGCGUGAAAUCCCUCGGCUUAACCGGGGAACUGCGUCUGAUACUGGAUGGCUUGAGAUUGGGAGAGGGAUGCGGAAUUCCAGGUGUAGCGGUGAAAUGCGUAGAUAUCUGGAGGAACACCGGUGGCGAAGGCGGCAUCCUGGACCAACACUGACGCUGAGUGAGCGAAAGCCAGGGGAGCAAACGGG
rnacentral:rRNA from 1 species